rnacentral:rRNA from 1 species
GUCGCAUGUUACCAGCAUCAAGUUGGGGACUCAUGCGAGACUGCCGGUGACAAACCGGAGGAAGGUGGGGAUGACGUCAAAUCAUCAUGCCCCUUAUGGCCUGGGCUACACACGUACUACAAUGGCGGCCACAAAGAGCAGCGACACAGUGAUGUGAAGCGAAUCUCAUAAAGGUCGUCUCAGUUCGGAUUGAAGUCUGCAACUCGACUUCAUGAAGUCGGAAUCGCUAGUAAUCGCAGAUCAGCAUGCUGCGGUGAAUACGUUCUCGGGCCUUGUACACACCGCCCGUCAAACCAUGGGAGUCAGUAAUACCCGAAGCCGGUGGCAUAACCGUAAGGAGUGAGCCGUCGAAGGUAGGACCGAUGACUGGGGUUAAGUCGUAACAAGGUAUCCCUACGGGAACGUGGGGAUGGAUCACCUCCUUUCUAAGGAGA